UCGACGGCAGCACAGGAGAGCUUGCUCUCUGGGUGGCGAGUGGCGGACGGGUGAGGAAUACAUCGGAAUCUACCUUUUCGUGGGGGAUAACGUAGGGAAACUUACGCUAAUACCGCAUACGACCUACGGGUGAAAGUGGGGGACCGCAAGGCCUCACGCGAUUAGAUGAGCCGAUGUCCGAUUAGCUAGUUGGCGGGGUAAUGGCCCACCAAGGCGACGAUCGGUAGCUGGUCUGAGAGGAUGAUCAGCCACACUGGAACUGAGACACGGUCCAGACUCCUACGGGAGGCAGCAGUGGGGAAUAUUGGACAAUGGGCGCAAGCCUGAUCCAGCCAUACCGCGUGGGUGAAGAAGGCCUUCGGGUUGUAAAGCCCUUUUGUUGGGAAAGAAAUCCUGUCGAUUAAUACUCGGUGGGGAUGACGGUACCCAAAGAAUAAGCACCGGCUAACUUCGUGCCAGCAGCCGCGGUAAUACGAAGGGUGCAAGCGUUACUCGGAAUUACUGGGCGUAAAGCGUGCGUAGGUGGUGGUUUAAGUCUGCUGUGAAAGCCCUGGGCUCAACCUGGGAAUUGCAGUGGAUACUGGGUCACUAGAGUGUGGUAGAAGGAUGCGGCAAUUUCUGGUGUAACAGUGAGAUGCGUAGAGAUUCGGAGAGGACAUCCAUGGGGAAGGCGGCGUCCUG
rnacentral:rRNA from 1 species